CCGAAUAUAUGAACUGUCAUUGACGAGAGCAGUCAUCCUUUCAGUGUGUGUUUGACACAAAACGUGAAAGUGUCAUCCUGUGAUCUCAGAACUAACUAAGCAGUGUGCGAAAAUUGUAAAGAAAUCGUUGAAAAGUGUUAUUGUGAUAAUUCAUUAGUGUGUAAGAACUAAAGUGAUAUUCGUGAUUGGUAUAUACGCUGUAUUCACCGGCAGAGCCAAUGUUAUUUUAAGGUUUGUAGAUCUAUAAAAAAAAGCUAUUUGUAUGAAAUCUGUAGGAAUACUCCAUAUAAAUGUCUAGAACAGCUGGGUGUGUUGUUUGUCACUGACGUUACGCCAUGUGUGGGCAAAUCGGCUAAGUGUGGGUUUUACUCGAUUGGAUUCGUAAGUCUAUCAAAGUCAUAAUGACUACUGAUUAUGGAGUUUAUGCACGACCGUGUUAGUCACUGUACAGAUUAUAUUUUGAUGAUCAAACCCUAAGCAAUAUUUCGUCUAUGAAGCUUUACAACGUGCGGUCGGACAAAAUACAACCUACGGCAAUAAUAAGAGAUGGCGCUGUAGUAGUUGACGUUUAUCAAUGUUCCGUGAAUGUACAUUGUUUGUUUUCCAGUUUUUUUGACGUUUGAUAUAGAGAUUGUGGAAUAAAAAA